rnacentral:rRNA from 1 species
CUUCGCGCGGUUGAAUGAGCCGAUGUCGGAUUAGCUAGUUGGCGGGGUAAAGGCCCACCAAGGCGACGAUCCGUAGCUGGUCUGAGAGGAUGAUCAGCCACACUGGAACUGAGACACGGUCCAGACUCCUACGGGAGGCAGCAGUGGGGAAUAUUGGACAAUGGGCGCAAGCCUGAUCCAGCCAUGCCGCGUGGGUGAAGAAGGCCUUCGGGUUGUAAAGCCCUUUUGUUGGGAAAGAAAAGCAGUCGGUUAAUACCCGAUUGUUCUGACGGUACCCAAAGAAUAAGCACCGGCUAACUUCGUGCCAGCA